GCCUUAAAAAAAACUUAAGGUGUAACCUGCCCAGUGAUUUUUAAUUUAUAAUAUUAAAUUAAUUUAAAUAAAAUUAAACGGACGCAGUAUCUUGACUGUGAUAAUGUAGCAUAAUCAUUUGCCAUUUAAUUGGUGGAUAGUAUGAAUGGUUAAACGAAUUCUUCACUGUCUUAAGAAAAAAAUUUAUAAAAUUGAAAUAAUAGUUAAGAUGCUAUUUAAAAUUGUAAGACGAAAAGACCCUAUAGAGCUUAACUAAAAAUUUUCUUAUAUUAAAAAGUUAAAAAAAACUUUUAAAAAAGAAAAAUGGAUAGUUUAGUUGGGGCGACUACCUUUUAUUAUAAACAAAGGUAAACAAAAUUAAUAUUUUAAUUUAUUGUAUAAUUAAUAAAUUUAACAAUUAUAAAAAUAGGUUAUAAUGACCCGUUAUAAAUAAAAAAUAUAAAUAACGAUUAAUAAAUAAAAGCUACCUUAGGGAUAACAGAAUAAUUUUAACUUAGAGAUCCUAUCGAAGUUAAAGUUUGUCACCUCUAUGUUGAAUUAAGAUAUCCUAAUAAUGCAGAAGUUAUUAAAGGUAGGUCUGUUCGACCUUUAAAAUCUU
rnacentral:rRNA from 1 species